GCCAGUGUAGCUUAACUUGGUAAAGCACCGCCCAUGUUGGCGGAAGGAUGCGGGUUCGAAUCCCGCCACUGGCA
rfam:Gonium pectorale scaffold01382, whole genome shotgun sequence.